rnacentral:tRNA from 1 species
GGGGCCAUAGCUCAGUCGGUUAGAGCAGCCGGCUCAUAACCGGUCGGUCCCUGGUUCAAGUCCAGGUGGCCCCA